GAAAAAAAACAGAAAGAGAGUUGUGGAGGGUUGAUAUAUACAGUGUGGAGUCGUAUCCAGCGAAAUUCAAAACAGUUUACAGGCGGAGGAGGCGCGAUCAAGAAGAGAGUUGUGGAGGGUUGAUAUAUACAGUGUGGAGUCGUAUCCAGCGAAAUUCAAAACAGUUUACAGGCGGAGGAGGCGCGAUCAAGAAGAGAGUUGUGGAGGGUUUAUACAGUGUGGUUUCGUGGUUAUUGAUUCCUGGUAGUCUCUUUUCUUGAAUUGGUGUUUCGAUUUAAAUAAUAAAAAACAAAAAAUGGACGAAGCCGAGGUGGUGGUUAAGCCGAAGAAGAACGGUCAACUCUGCUCCCUCUGCAACCAAAGAAAGCCCGCCCUCAAAAGACCCAAAACCCUAGAACAGAUUUGUAGGGAAUGUUUCUACACUGUGUUUGAGGAUGAGAUCCACAGUGUAAUUGUGGAAAAUCAGCUAUUCAAGCCUGGGGAACGCAUUGCUAUUGGCGCUUCUGGUGGCAAAGAUUCCACAGUGCUUGCUUAUGUGUUGUCAGAGCUGAAUCGUCGGCAUAAUUAUGGCGUAGAUCUAUUUCUCUUGUCAGUUGAUGAAGGCAUCACAGGGUAUAGGGAUGAUUCACUUGAAACUGUCAAAAGAAAUGAAGUCCAGUAUGGACUACCACUAAAAGUGGUGUCUUACAAGGAACUGUACGGAUGGACCAUGGACGAAAUAGUGAAGAUUAUUGGGUUAAAGAACAAUUGCACAUUUUGUGGUGUUUUCCGUCGCCAGGCCCUUGAUCGUGGUGCCGCAUUGCUGAAAGUAGACAAGCUAGCUACUGGGCAUAAUGCAGAUGAUAUUGCUGAAACAGUUCUUUUAAACAUAUUACGAGGUGAUAUUGCUAGGUUGAGUCGAUGCACAUCUAUAACCACUGGAGAAGAUGGACCAAUUCCAAGAUGCAAGCCAUUUAAGUAUACCUAUGAAAAGGAGAUUGUUAUGUAUGCAUAUUUUAAGAGGCUGGACUACUUCUCCACUGAAUGCAUUUAUUCCCCAAAUGCUUAUCGUGGCUUUGCACGUGAGUUCAUCAAAGAUUUAGAAAGGAUCAGACCUAGAGCCAUACUUGACAUCAUUAAAUCAGGUGAGGAUUUCAGGAUCUCCACGUCUACAAAAAUGCCAGAGCAGGGAAUCUGUGAACGCUGUGGUUAUAUUUCUAGCCAGAAAUGGUGUAAAGCUUGUGUCUUGCUCGAGGGAUUGAAUCGUGGUUUGCCAAAGCUGGGCAUUGGCCGAAGUAGAGGUCUCAACAAUGAUCGUAAAAAGGAUAUGAAACAAAGUAACGGAACUGAAAAUAUUGGGAGCAAACAAUGUGGAACAUUAGACUUCUGAUGGAUGUUGUUAUGGAUAACUUCUGCUUGGUGAACUUUAAGAUGGUGGAGUACUCUCUGUACUUUGUAAUUGUAGGCUCUUAUGGUCCGAAUCACAAAUACAUUAAUUGGGUGUGAAAACUGAAAAGUGUAACUGUUUAAUGUGCCUAGUUAUCACUUGAAACAUAUCCUUGAAGUAUUCCUUGUUUUGAUGGAAAGAUGACAUCAUGGCAACAGAAGUAGAGACUAUCAAGCCGUCUUCCCCAACUUCCCACCACACCACUUGAGAACUCACAAGCUCUCCUUUCUGGAUCAGCUCCAUCCAACCAUCUUCAGCCACGUUGCCUUUUACUAUCUCACAGACACCCCUAUUGUUGCCAAUGCAUUGAAUCAGUUGAAGCAAUCACUAUCAAAAGCCUUGACUCACUUUUACCCUUUUGCCCGAAGAAUCUAGGCUGACAAACUUUCCAUCGAAUGUAACGACUAGGUUUCUCAGAAGCCCAAGUGAUGAAUUGCCAUCUCUUGGACUUUCUCAGCGACCCUGAUCUCAACUUGUUGAAUCAUUUCUAUCUGUGCCAUCCCGCCAACAUCGAGUCAUAUGCAAGAGUUCGUCCGGCUAUGAUUCAGGUCAAUAUGUUCAAUUGCUCUGUAAUUGUUAUCGGAAUGUGCCUUUUGCAUAAAGUUCUUGACAGUAUAUCAACCAGUGCAUUUCUCAAAGGCUGGGCUGCUUUUGCUUGGGGGUGUUUCGAAACUGUACAUAACGCAGCAACUCUGUUCCCACCAAAUGAUCAACUGCUGAUGGACUCCCUAGCUAUCCUGGGAAGGUCCAUGGUCAAAACAGAGAAUUCUGUUAUGAGGGGAGUCCUAUUCAAAUCAUCAGCAAUGGCAACACUCAAGAGCAAAGCUAGUGGCUCAGGCAUGACGAAUCCCUCUCUGGUUGAAGUUGCGACUGCCUUUGUAUGGAAAUGUGCAAUGUUGUCUGCUCAGAAAGCAAAUCGUGGUCUCCAGAGGCCAUCUGUACUGUCCCAUGCUGUGGAUUUACGGAGACGAAUGGUGCCACCAUUGCAGGAAUACUCCAUAGGGAAUCUACUUUGGAUACUAUGCACGAAAUGCAAGGCGGACAAUGAGAUAGUGCUACAUUCACCGAUUCGAAAGCUGAGGGAAACAAUCACAGAAAUCUAUGGCGAUUUCGUGGAAAGAUUGCAGAGUGGUCAAGGGUUGUGUUUGGUUGCUAAGAGUGUGAAAGAGAUGUGUAAGUUGUGCUCCGAAGGUCCAGCGGACUAUUUUGGGUUCACCACUUGGUCCAAGUUUGACUCUCAUUUCUUCCUCAAAGAGUUGAAGAACGGCGAGGAGAGGAACAAGGACCACGAAGUUUAACCAGGGAAGGAUCUUAAGGAUUCCAAUCCUCUAUUUCAGAUUUGGAUGUAUUCUGCUGCUACAUUUGCGGAAGUUCGAAUAAUGAUGAAGUUAACUGCUUAUUGGAUUGUGGUAGUCAACGCUUAAUUAAGUGGUUAAAAAGUUGAAAGCUCCAGUCGAUACUCGAAACCAACUUCUCCUCUUUUCGGCGGGAUCCAAGUCUCAAACUCAAUUGACGGUCUCCUUCGAUUCACAGCUCUCUCUCUCUCUCUCUCUCUCUCUCUCUCACAGAGCUAGGAUCAGAUAUUGAUUGUGUUGUGGUAGCACUUGGGUUUCAAAGUAUGUCUGUUUUAUUUGUUUUUAAUGGCGAUUGAGAAGCUUUUUAAAGAUGAAGCUACUGAGCGAGCCAGAAUGGCAUCUUUUGUCGGUGCAAUGGCAAUUGCUGACUUGGUGAAGACGACCUUAGGACCUAAGGGAAUGGAUAAAAUUUUACAAUAAACAGGCGGGGGACACAAUGUUACUGCCACAAAUGAUGGUGCUACAAUCUUAAAGUCCCUUCAUAUUGAUAACCCAGCUGCUAAAGUCCUUGUUGGCAUUUCAAAAGUUCAAGAUGAUGAAGUUGGAGAUGGGACGACUUCAGUAGUUGUUUUGGCCGGGGAGCUUUUGAGGGAAGCAGAAAGAUUUCUAGCUACAAAUAUUCAUCCAAUGACAAUAAUCUCAGGUUAUCGAAUGGCUGCUGAGUGCGCUCGCUAUGCUUUGCUGCAGAAGGUGAUGGAUAAUAAAGAGGAUGCAGAGAAAUUCAAGGAAGACUUGAUGAAGAUUGCAAUGACUACUUUGAGUUCUAAAAUGCUCUCCCAGGACGAGGAGCAUUUUGCAAACCUGGCUGUGGAUGCUGUUAUGAGGCUACAGCACAAACUUGGAGGCCAUUAAGAUUAUUAAGAAUCCUGGAGGAUCACUAAAGG